rnacentral:rRNA from 1 species
CCUACGGGAGGCAGCAGUGAGGAAUAUUGGUCAAUGGACGAGAGUCUGAACCAGCCAAGUAGCGUGAAGGAUGACUGCCCUAUGGGUUGUAAACUUCUUUUAUAUGGGAAUAAAAUGUUCCACGUGUGGGAUUUUGUAUGUACCAUAUGAAUAAGGAUCGGCUAACUCCGUGCCAGCAGCCGCGGUAAUACGGAGGAUCCGAGCGUUAUCCGGAUUUAUUGGGUUUAAAGGGAGCGUAGGUGGAUUGUUAAGUCAGUUGUGAAAGUUUGCGGCUCAACCGUAACAUUGCAGUUGAAACUGGCAGUCUUGAGUACAGUAGAGGUGGGCGGAAUUCGUGGUGUAGCGGUGAAAUGCUUAGAUAUCACGAAGAACUCCGAUUGCGAAGGCAGUUCACUGGACUGCAACUGACACUGAGGCUCGAAAGUGUGGGUAUCAAACAGGAUUAGAUACCCCUGUAGUC